ensembl:miRNA
CCCCAUUUCAACAUCAGACUAGCACGCUCUGUCUUCCUUUAAGACCACAGAUCCUGUCUUGAAGAGGAGCAGAACGUGUUCAUCGACGUGGAC